CAGCAGCCACGGUAAUACGGAGGGAGCUAGCGUUGUUCGGAAUUACUGGGCGUAAAGCGCGCGUAGGCGGUUACUCAAGUCAGAGGUGAAAGCCCGGGGCUCAACCCCGGAACUGCCUUUGAAACUAGGUGACUAGAAUCUUGGAGAGGUCAGUGGAAUUCCGAGUGUAGAGGUGAAAUUCGUAGAUAUUCGGAAGAACACCAGUGGCGAAGGCGACUGACUGGACAAGUAUUGACGCUGAGGUGCGAAAGCGUGGGGAGCAAACAGGAUUAGAUACCCCCGUAGUCCCUGUCUCUUAUAA
rnacentral:rRNA from 1 species